UACGGGGGGAGCAAGCGUUGUUCGGAUUUACUGGGCGUAAAGGGCGCGUAGGCGGCCACCGCAAGUCGACUGUGAAAUCUCCGGGCUUAACCCGGAGAGGUCAGCCGAUACUGCGGGGCUAGAGUGCAGAAGGGGCAACUGGAAUUCUCGGUGUAGCGGUGAAAUGCGUAGAUAUCGAGAGGAACACCUGCGGCGAAGGCGGGUUGCUGGGCUGACACUGACGCUGAUGCGCGAAAGCGUGGGGAGCGAACAGG
rnacentral:rRNA from 1 species